ensembl:snRNA U6 U6 spliceosomal RNA
AUGCUCAUCUUGCAACACAUAUACUAAAACUGGAACAAUACCAAGAAGAUUAGCACAGCAGCUGCACAAGAAUGACACACAAGUUCAUGAAGUGUUGCAUUAAACA